AUUGAACGCUGGCGGCAGGCCUAACACAUGCAAGUCGAGCGGAGCGGCGGACGGGUGAGUAAUGCCUAGGACUUUGCAUGGGAGUGGUGGAUCACGUCCGGAAACGGGCGCUAAUACUGCAUACUUUCAGAUUAGCCUAGGUCGGAUUAGCUAGUUGGUGGUGUAAAGGCCUUCCAAGGCGACGAUCCGUAACUGGUCCGAGAGGAUGAUCAGUCACACUGGAACUGAGACACGGUCCAGACUCCUACGGGAGGCAGCAGUGGGGAAUAUUGGACAAUGGGCGAAAGCCUGAUCCAGCCAUGCCGCGUGUGUGAAGAAGGUCUUCGGAUUGUAAAGCACUUUAAGUUGGGAGGCGUUACCAACAGAAUAAGCACCGGCUAACUUCGUGCCAGCAGCCGCGGUAAUUC
rnacentral:rRNA from 1 species